GAUGAACGCUGGCGGCGUGCCUAAUACAUGCAAGUCGAGCGAACAGACGAGGAGCUUGCUCCUCUGACGUUAGCGGCGGACGGGUGAGUAACACGUGGAUAACCUACCUAUAAGACUGGGAUAACUUCGGGAAACCGGAGCUAAUACCGGAUAAUAUAUUGAACCGCAUGGUUCAAUAGUGAAAGACGGUUUUGCUGUCACUUAUAGAUGGAUCCGCGCUGCAUUAGCUAGUUGGUAAGGUAACGGCUUACCAAGGCAACGAUGCGUAGCCGACCUGAGAGGGUGAUCGGCCACACUGGAACUGAGACACGGUCCAGACUCCUACGGGAGGCAGCAGUAGGGAAUCUUCCGCAAUGGGCGAAAGCAUGACGGAGCAACGCCGCGUGAGUGAUGAAGGUCUUCGGAUCGUAAAACUCUGUUAUUAGGGAAGAACAGAUGUGUAAGUAACUGUGCACGUCUUGACGGUACCUAAUCAGAAAGCCACGGCUAACUACGUG
rnacentral:rRNA from 1 species